rnacentral:rRNA from 1 species
CGGCGGACGGGUGAGUAACGCGUGGGUAACCUGCCUCGUACAGGGGGAUAACAGUUGGAAACGGCUGCUAAUACCGCAUAAGCGCACAGUACCGCAUGGUACCGUGUGAAAAACUCCGGUGGUAUGAGAUGGACCCGCGUCUGAUUAGCUAGUUGGUGGGGUAACGGCCUACCAAGGCGACGAUCAGUAGCCGACCUGAGAGGGUGGCCGGCCACAUUGGGACUGAGACACGGCCCAA